ACUCCUACGGGAGGCAGCAGUGGGGAAUAUUGCACAAUGGGCGCAAGCCUGAUGCAGCCAUGCCGCGUGUAUGAAGAAGGCCUUCGGGUUGUAAAGUACUUUCAGCAGUGAGGAAGGUAGUGUAGUUAAUAGCUGCAUUAUUUGACGUUAGCUGCAGAAGAAGCACCGGCUAACUCCGUGCCAGCAGCCGCGGUAAUACGGAGGGUGCGAGCGUUAAUCGGAAUUACUGGGCGUAAAGGGCGCGUAGGCGGGAUGUCAAGUUAGGGGUGAAAGGCCUGGGCUCAACCUAGGAACUGCCUCUAAAACUGAUAUUCUAGAGUCCGGGAGAGGAUGGCGGAAUUCCCAGUGUAGAGGUGAAAUUCGUAGAUAUUGGGAAGAACACCGGUGGCGAAGGCGGCCAUCUGGUCCGGCACUGACGCUGAGGCGCGAAAGCGUGGGGAGCAAACAGGAUUAGAUCCCCUGGUAGGCUCUG
rnacentral:rRNA from 1 species